AUUUCGUUUUAUAGAUAUUCUCUUGGAAUCCAUGUUUCGAGUGCAUUAAUAUUCUUUUGUUCCUUGCAAUCCUUGGGUUUGAUUGAUGCAAAUUUGGUUUCAAGGAAUGAGGGAUAAAAAGGUCAAUGAA